rnacentral:tRNA from 1 species
AGCUUUAUAGUCAAUAAUGACAUUAGACUGCAAUUCUAAAGGAGUAAUAUAAUUUUACUAAGGCUU